GAAAUGCGAUAAGUAAUGUGAAUUGCAGAAUUCAGUGAAUCAUCGAAUCUUUGAACGCACAUUGCGCCCGCCAGUAUUCUGGCGGGCAUGCCUGUUCGAGCGUCAUUUCAACCAUCAAGCCCCAGGCUUGUGUUGGGGACCUGCGGCUGCCGCAGGCCCUGAAAUCCAGUGGCGGGUUCGCUGUCACCCCGAGCGUAGUAGCAAUAUCUCGCUCAGGGCGUGCUGCGGGCACCGGCCGUUAAAAGCUGCCUUCUGGCAACACCCAAGGUUGACCUCGGAUCAGGUAGGAAGACCCGCUGAACUUAA
rnacentral:misc_RNA from 1 species